rnacentral:rRNA from 1 species
UACGGAAGGCAGCAGUGGGGAAUAUUGCACAAUGGGCGCAAGCCUGAUGCAGCCAUGCCGCGUGUAUGAAAAAGGCCUUCGGGUUGUAAAGUACUUUCAGUCGUGAGGAAGGUGUUAAGGUUAAUAACCUUAGCAAUUGACGUUAGCGACAGAAGAAGCACCGGCUAACUCCGUGCCAGCAGCCGCGGUAAUACGGAGGGUGCGAGCGUUAAUCGGAAUUACUGGGCGUAAAGGGCACGCAGGCGGUUAAUUAAGUUGGAUGUGAAAUCCCCGGGCUUAACCUGGGAAUGGCAUUCAAGACUGGUUAGCUAGAGUCUUGUAGAGGGGGUAGAAUUCCAUGUGUAGCGGUGAAAUGCGUAGAGAUGUGGAGGAAUACCGGUGGCGAAGGCGGGCCCCUGGACAAAGGACUGACGCUCAUGUGCGAAAGCGUGGGGAGCAAAC